rnacentral:rRNA from 1 species
GACGAACGCUGGCGGCGUGCCUAAUACAUGCAAGUAGAACGCUGAAGGAGGAGCUUGCUUCUCUGGAUGAGUUGCGAACGGGUGAGUAACGCGUAGGUAACCUGCCUGGUAGCGGGGGAUAACUAUUGGAAACGAUAGCUAAUACCGCAUAAGAGUAGAUGUUGCAUGACAUUUGCUUAAAAGGUGCAAUUGCAUCACUACCAGAUGGACCUGCGUUGUAUUAGCUAGUUGGUGGGGUAACGGCUCACCAAGGCGACGAUACAUAGCCGACCUGAGAGGGUGAUCGGCCACACUGGGACUGAGACACGGCCCAGACUCCUACGGGAGGCAGCAGUAGGGAAUCUUCGGCAAUGGACGGAAGUCUGACCGAGCAACGCCGCGUGAGUGAAGAAGGUUUUCGGAUCGUAAAGCUCUGUUGUAAGAGAAGAACGAGUGUGAGAGUGGAAAGUUCACACUGUGACGGUAUCUUACCAGAAAGGAACGGCUAACUACGUG